GACGUAGGGCGCGAGCGUUGUCCGGAUUUAUUGGGCGUAAAGAGCUCGUAGGCGGCUUGUUGCGUCGUCCGUGAAAACCUGUGGCUCAACUACAGGCUUGCGGUCGAUACGGGCGGGCUGGAGUUCGGUAGGGGAGACUGGAAUUCCUGGUGUAGCGGUGAAAUGCGUAGAUAUCUGGAGGAACACCGGUGGCGAAGGCGGCAUCCUGGACCAACACUGACACUGAGGAGCGAAAGCCAGGGGAGCAAACGGG
rnacentral:rRNA from 1 species